UAAAGGGGGAGAGAGAGGGAGGGCAGGGGAAGAGAAAGGAGCGCUUAGAGGGGCGUCUCACGCGAGGGAAACUCGGGUCAAACAACGGCCCACCCUUUCCUCAUCGCGCGGUCCCCAAAAGAGGAGGAGAAGAGAACACAACCAACCCCUCCUCUCUUCCCCAAAUCCUCCACCAGGGAGAGAAAAGGAGAGCCAAAGAGAGAUCGAGAUGGAGGCGGCGAUGGAUCUGAUGCGGAGGAUCUCGCCGAACCAGAGCGAGACGGCGUUGUCGGCCCUGCUGUCCCUCCUCCCCCACCACUCCGCCGACCUCCUCUCCCAAGUCGACCAGCCCCUCCAGGUUUGUAUGGAUACUGAGUCGAUGAAGGAGUUCAUACUGUGUGAAUACAACAGGGACGCUGAUUCGUAUAGAUCGCCUUGGUCAAACAAAUAUCGCCCACCUUUGGAAGAUGGGCCACUACCAUCAGAUGAACUGAGGAAACUUGAAAUUGAAGCAAAUGAGAUUUUUGCUGUUUAUCGUGAUCAGUAUUAUGAAGGGGGUGUCUCAUCGGUGUACAUGUGGGAAGAUGACAAUCAGGGACUUGUGGCAUGUUUCUUAAUAAAGAAAGAUGGAUCAAAAAAAGGGCAUGGGAGAAGGGGACAUUUGCAGGAGGGUUCAUGGGAUGCUAUUCAUGUUAUUGAGGUUGGGCCAGUUGAAGAGGGGAAUGCUCAUUACUGCUUAACCAGUACCGUCAUGCUAUCAUUGACCACAGAACACAAGCCAUUGGGAACUUUCAAUCUGUCAGGAUCAAUCAGAAGACAGAUGAGUUUAGACCUUUCAGUGGCAGAGGGCCACUUGUGUAACAUGGGAAAGAUGAUAGAAGAAAUGGAGGGGAAGCUCAGGAACUCACUGGAUCAGGUCUAUUUUGGGAAGACAAGGGAGAUGGUCUGCACACUGAGGCCACCACCUGAGGGCAUCCAACUGAGAUUGCCUGAAAGUUGACCCAUAAAGUGAAAGGUGCAGCAAUCAUUUGCAUCCAACUAAUCAGUAUUUUGGUGCUGAAGAAAAUUUGGAUACUUGGAGGGACAGUGACACAGUCAUUGCCUUGGGAAAUUUUAUGUUGCAGCCUUGAUGAUUUUAAAACUACACUUCUAGCUUGUCUUGCGAAAAUAUCAGUACUUCAGUAUAGUGAGUUUAUAUUAGACAGUUAAAAGCUGGCUAUUAACACCAUGUUCACCUUCCUCCUUUCUCAUCCUGACUUGAGAUGGAUCAUCGCAGUUAUGUGAAGGACUUUCGACAUAAUAAGGGACAAAAAAUUGGGAUUUCUAGCUCAGACCUAACCUUGUGAGGGGUUCCUGAAGUCACCCCUUUCCUUUCCGCAAAGAAAAAAGAAGGAUAGGCCAGGCCCUCAACUGGUACUUUAACAGUUAUAUCGACACGUGAGAUUUUUGUAGGCCAAGGCUUUUUCAUUGUCUGGCUUAAGGAGAGAAAUACUUUUUGAUCUUUAUUGAUAAAUCUUUUGAUUACCAAAUAUUUGAACGAUUCCUUGAAGAGCAGUUAAUCUCCUUUUUCACUA